UGGGGAAUAUUGCACAAUGGGGGAAACCCUGAUGCAGCCAUGCCGCGUGUGUGAAGAAGGCCUUCGGGUUGUAAAGCACUUUCAGUAGGGAGGAAGGUAGUGUAGUUAACACCUGCAUUAUUUGACGUUACCUACAGAAGAAGCACCGGCUAACUCCGUGCCAGCAGCCGCGGUAAUACGGAGGGUGCGAGCGUUAAUCGGAAUUACUGGGCGUAAAGCGCAUGCAGGCGGCCUGUUAAGUCAGAUGUGAAAGCCCGGGGCUUAACCUCGGAAUUGCAUUUGAAACUGGCAGGCUAGAGUCUUGUAGAGGGGGGUAGAAUUUCAGGUGUAGCGGUGAAAUGCGUAGAGAUCUGAAGGAAUACCAGUGGCGAAGGCGGCCCCCUGGACAAAGACUGACGCUCAGAUGCGAAAGCGUGGGGAGCAAACAGGAUUAGAUACCCUGGUAGUCCACGCCGUAAACGAUGUCUACUUGGAGGUUGUGGCCUUGAGCCGUGGCUUUCGGAGCUAACGCGUUAAAGUAGACCGCCUGGGGAGUACGGUCGCAAGAUUAAAACUCAAAUGAAUUG
rnacentral:rRNA from 1 species